rnacentral:rRNA from 1 species
UAGGGAAUCUUCGGCAAUGGGGGGAACCCUGACCGAGCAACGCCGCGUGAGUGAAGAAGGUUUUCGGAUCGUAAAGCUCUGUUGUUAAGGAAGAACGAGUGUGAGAAUGGAAAGUUCAUACUGUGACGGUACUUAACCAGAAAGGGACGGCUAACUACGUGCCAGCAGCCGCGGUAAUACGUAGGUCCCGAGCAUUGUCCGGAUUUAUUGGGCGUAAAGCGAGCGCAGGCGGUUAGAUAAGUCUGAAGUUAAAGGCAGUGGCUCAACCAUUGUAGGCUUUGGAAACUGUUUAACUUGAGUGCAGAAGGGGAGAGUGGAAUUCCAUGUGUAGCGGUGAAAUGCGUAGAUAUAUGGAGGAACACCGGUGGCGAAAGCGGCUCUCUGGUCUGUAACUGACGCUGAGGCUCGAAAGCGUGGGGAGCGAACAGG